AAAUGGUUGGUGUUGGAAUUUUUCAAAUCGGUCGAGAAAUGUUGAAAUAGUAACAUGUUGAAUUGAGAAAUGGUAUUCCUGGAAUUAGUUUUUUGUCCUGAUUAAGAGGAAUGUUUUGACAGUAGAAUGGUUGAAAUGCGUUGAAAAAUGUGAAAGGAGUAGUCGCCAGAAAAAAAGGGUGGAAAUGGGGCUUUGGAAAACCAGGAAUUGUGGAAAAUCUUGGAAUUGUUUUUAACUUGGAAAAAAGGGAAAUUUGAAUUUCCAGGAUGGUGGAAUGUGUUGAAGGUGGAAUGGUUUAAAUAGGUAGAAAAAUGGAAACGGUGGAAGUUUGAAAAAUGGCCAAUUCAUUUGGAAUGGGAAAAAAUGUCCCGGAAAAUCUGGAAUUCUGGGGAAAUCUGGGAAUAUUUGGAAUUUGUCAAGGGAAAGCCCACGAUUCCCGAAUAGGCUGAACAGUUUGAAGUUGGAACGGUUUGAUUCGGGUGAAAAAUAUGGAAGGUAGAACGCGCCAAAAUCUUAACAAGAAGAAGAAGUUUAAUAAUAAAUAGAUGAAUUUUGGUGUAGAAAACCAUAUUAGUGAAUGUUUGGAGCAUUCACACAAUUAUUUAGCAUCUCACACAGAACAGACUCAAGAAUAAAGAUCAAGAAGCCAGUAAAAAAGAAGAAGAUGAAAUGGGCAAAGUGAAAGGAAACAGAGGCAUGGCACUAAGCUAUCCAUACACUUGGGUAAAACUGAAUCCAUCCUGUUUGGGUCCCACAUCAACCUUAAGAAAGUCAAUGACUUCACUAUAAAAGUGGGUGACAUUGUUAUCACCAGGAAGGAUGAGGUCACCUACCUAGGUUCCAUUCUAGAGGCUGAUCUUUCCUGUGAUAAAAUGGCAACCAAGGUAAUCAAAAAGGUCAACCAACGAACGAGAUUUCUCUCUCGAAUCUACUACCACCGCAACCUACUAAUAAAAGUCUCAAUCAAUCAAUCAAUCAAUAAUGGGACACUUAGGUGACUAAGACACUGGAGGGCUGGUUGCACAUGAGCCUUGAAGCCAAGCUUAACCUGUUUGGAGACUUAGUCUUAGACUAGUCAGGAAGUAGAAGAGCAGAAUUCUGCUUCUUGAUGCUUCUGAUUGAAUUGACAGCUGCAAAGAUGUGAUAUGAGUGAAGAUGCACCUUCUGGAUGGACUUCCUUCACCAGAGUGAGGUGUUGGCUCUGCAUGAGCAGCGUAACCAGCUCACGGUGCGUUUUGUGCUCCCACAGCUGGUGACGCUGGUAACGAGCUCUCAGAGAGACGUGAAGGCUGAAGGCUGAGUGAGACACAGAUGCUUUGUGCACUGGAACACAGAGAGAUGUCUCCAUCGCUGAGGGACCUCAUCACACUUGGACGUUUCUUUCACAUCUGCACUAAUUGCUCCUCAUCUCAUCCAUCAUGUCUUCUUUGGGUGUUUAUGGCUGAGAAAACACCUUCAAUCUGCAUUUGUCAACAAUAUUUUGCCAGUGAAUCAUGUUGAUGUUGAUGUUUGUGUCCAUGUAGUUGUGAUGUCAUCAUUUGGGGCUCACGUGUCAUCACAUUGACAAGGAUUUAUUCUUUCCUUUUCAAACCAAUAGACAGCUGCUUAUCAGUGAAUAUCACCUUGUGUCACAUGUCAUCAUUAUUUUUACAAAUAUUGUGGAACAAUAGCACAAUUUUUCGGUACUUUUUUAUGUUAAUGUUAAUUGUUUGAUAAUCAAUUUUUUGUUGUAACAUUUAAGAAUGAUGAUUAUGAGAACUGCUGUCCAGUUGUUAUAUCUUGUUUUCUGGUUACAUUAGUCUCACUUGCAAUGCAGUUGCACUUCCAAGACCAUUAGAUGGCAGCACUGUAUAACUAUUUAUGCUAUGUUGUCAAACUAGAAAGUAGCUUUUUUUCAGGAAGAUGAAUUUGUUAGGUUGCGCCCUACAAAGUGUCAAUACUGUAAGUAUUGUCCUCAUUGGACAAAACUGUAAAAUUCGAAUUAUAUUAUUAGUUAUCGUUUCCUUUACCAAAUCAAAGGUGUUGAAAUCGCCAUGUUAAAUCGCUCAUGCUAAUAAUUGCCUGUCUAUGGCUAAUCCUAUGUAUAUUAGCAUUAAGCUAGCGCAUUUUGAAAGGGUGUAGCAUUACUUUACAUUUGAGCGUAUUUUUUAUUAAGCACACUUUGUUGGUGUUGAAAAUGGCAAGGUGACUUAGAGGGAGUUUGGCUGAGUCCGGCCUGAGUGCUGCUUGAGUGAUUGUUUACGUGUUUAGUCUGAAACCAGACAUGACCAGUCUGAAACCGGACAUGACGUCACAUGCAACAAAGGUAUCGAACUACGGCACCGUUUGAUUUUACGUGAAUUGAUAGUACCGAGGGAAUUCGGUCAUUACCUACAAAAGUACUGAAUUGGGUAGCCAACCCUACCAGUUAGUGUGACGGAGGGGGACAGUGACACAAGGUUUUUAUGACAAAGCGUUGCAGAAUGUUUAUAUUUUUUGAAAAUAUUUGCUGUUUUUCCUUUCCUUUUUGCAUAGUCAUAUUUUUGCUUGAUUGCCAAACAUGCCGAGGAUGUCAUUUGGGAAGUAAACAAGGUAGGCCGUUCAUAUACUCUUGAUAUUCAGUGUUUUAUGUGUACUAUGUUUCAUGUACAUUCUGGGUGUUUUAUUCAGUAAAAACUUGUCAAAUACAA